UGGUAGAGGUGGGCGGCGCUAGGCUUGGGGCGCGGUGUGGCUCAAUGGCGCUCAGCUGCUUGGGUGGAUGUAAGAGAGAGGAGGCACGAAGAAGAUAGGUGGACCUGACGUACGCACAGUCUUUAAUGCGAGUAACAAUGAUUUGAAUCUCAUGUGAGCCUAUUUGCAAGUUUGGGGAUCCAAUAAUGUGUAUUUGGGAGUUUGGGAGCUGGAUGGCUCUCCAUGCCAAUUUUGUGAAUCGGCGGUGCACUUUACACUUAAUAUUACUAACGCAUGUUCUACGUCUUAGCUAUGUGAAUUGAAAGAUACCGAAUGUAGCCUUUUUCUUAUCCGGGAAUAGUAUUUCUUGCGUGUUAUACACUACCCGGCACUUUGCCGUGUAUUUUUAUAUUUGCUGAGUGUUUUACCUUGAGCACUCGGUAAGGAACCUUGUUGUCGAAUUCUAUCAAAAAUACACUCGGUAAAAUAAUUACACUCGGCAAAAUAAAUUUGCUGAGUGUCUGUCUUCAGCAAACUGUUGCUUUGCCGAGCCUCCUAGGUAAAGUUUGAUUUGCCGAGUAUUCCAUAUUAGACACAAAGGUAUUUUACUAAAUAUCUACACGGACGGCCCCAGGCCUCAGCUCAUGCAGAGCCGCCCCCCUUCCCCUCCCUCACGCCCUCAGGCCUCCAACGAUCCGCACCCCCCACCCUCACGCCAGAGCCGCCCCG
rnacentral:lncRNA from 1 species